rnacentral:lncRNA from 1 species
CUGGUGAAAAAUCUAAUGAAACAUCUGGAGAGAAAUGCAUGUUCUGUUGUUGCCCCCGGCUCCCAUUCUUACACUACCUCUUCUCCCCAGAGAAACAAUCUGGCUAUUCUAAAGUGAUAAAUGGAUGGAGUUUGGUCUUGGCAGCCUGUCUUUAUGCUUAUAUCUUUUCUGGAUUAAUGUUAUUUACAGGAGAAAAGAUGGCUUCUUUUAACAUGUGACUCAGUGGGGGUUUUCAUUUUAGGGUCUUUGCAUUUCUGUCUGAAAAUCUCUAAUGUUGAAGGUCACUGCUUGGGCUGAGGUGACUGGAGUGCAAGAACAUACCAAAAUCUGAAGGGCAGAGCCCUGAAGCUGAACAAAUCGGUGGAUUCCAUCUUCUUGGCCCCUCUAUUCUGGAGUGAGAAAUCAGACUGAAUCUCAAGACUCCUGUGAUCAAGUCUAGAACAAAGGCUGAUUCUCUCCCUUUGGAGCAUACGAUGAGCCAUUUUUGUCAGGAUGAAGGAAGCUGUUUUCAACAUAAAGCUGAUUCACAAAUGAGAGGAAAACUAAGCUGUUCCAUUGAGGGCACUACUCCUGUGGAACCGAAUACUGUCCUAUACAAUGAAAACUGGAAGGUCUUCUCCCUUGCAUUUCCUUUCGGACUGCAGUUUAAGAAACUUCCUCAUUAUUCCAUCACACCUGCACAUAAAGUGGUCAUUAUCUCCAUCCUGCUCCUUCUCCUGCAUAAAUCGAUGCUGAUUGAAGUCUGGGUCCAAGGCGAGUUAUAUAAACCUUGGUUGGAAUAA